AUGUUGGACCAAAUCACAUCUACUCUUGGUGUGCUGGUGGAUGUAGAUUGGCAGCAUAACUUUCAAUCAUUCUAUGAAACAGUUAGGAUCAAGAUCUCCUGCAAGGACCCCUCUAAGAUUCCAGAAGAAAGGUUAUUUGGCAUUAAAGUCAAAAUCUACAGGUUAUUGAUUGAAGUGGAACCAAUUCCUAACACUGCAGAGGUGGAUGCUGAUACUGGCCCUGCUGCAGCUAAUCAAACUUCCAUGGGCUCUGAGACCAGGGGAAUAACUCCACUGAUGGCAGAUCCGUUCCAGGACUGGCUCUGA
rnacentral:rRNA from 1 species